rnacentral:lncRNA from 1 species
AAAAGAGAAAAUUCGUGAAAAAUAGAAAAUCAGUGAAAUAAAAUAUGGAAAAAUGAAAAUCAAAUGAAGAAAAAUAAAAGAGAAUUUUAGAAAUUAUUUUGGGAUAUUUUGGAUAAAAAUGAAACUACUAUGAAUUUUUUAAGAAAAAGAAAUUAAAAAUAAUAAAAGAAAAAUAAUUAUAAUCAGAAAAAAUGCAGAGCUUUGG